GAUGAACGCUGACAGAAUGCUUAACACAUGCCAGUCCACUUGAAUUUGGGUUUUUACCUUAGGUUUGGGUGGCGGACGGGUGAGUAACGCGUAAAGAACUUGCCUCACAGCUAGGGACAACAUUUGGAAACGAAUGCUAAUACCUAAUAUUAUGAUAAUAGGGCAUCCUAUAAUUAUGAAAGCUAUAAGCGCUGUGAGAGAGCUUUGCGUCCCAUUAGCUAGUUGGAGAGGUAACGGCUCACCAAGGCGAUGAUGGGUAGCCGGCCUGAGAGGGUGAUCGGCCACAAGGGGACUGAGACACGGCCCUUACUCCUCCGGGCGGCUGCCGUGGGGCCUAUUGGCCACUGGACCGAGAGUCUGAUCCAGCAAUUCUGUGUGCACGAUGAAGUUUUUCGGAAUGUCAAGUGCUUUCCGUUGGGCAGCAACAAAUGCCGGUACCCCCAGAAGAAGUGACGGCUAAAUACGU
rnacentral:rRNA from 1 species